AAGUAAAAGUCCUAACAAGCUCUCCGUUGGUGAACCAAGCGGAGGGAUCAUUA
rnacentral:rRNA from 1 species